GUGUGACCUGCGUAUAGGAGUGAAAGAUUAAUCGAACCCGGCAUCAGCUGGUUCCUCCCUAAACAUGUCGCAGCAUGACCUAACCGGAGGUCGUUGGUGAGGUAGAGCACUGAUUGGGGGAGCUGGGCGGGAAACUGCUCACCCUCCUGUCAAACUCCAAACUCCCCAACACCCUAGAUGGUUGGAAGUCCGCAAUGCGGGGUAAGCUUGUAUUGCGUAAGGGAAACAACCCAGACCGUGGUUAAUGUCCCUCAAUGUAGGCUAAGUGUAAACACUGAAAUUGGUCCUAGGUCAAAGACAACUGGAAGGUGAGCUCAGAAGCAGCUAUCCUUUAAAAAGUGCGUAACAGCUUACCAGUCAAGAUUUAGGGCGGUGAAAAUGGACGGGGCUAAAGCCUACUACAGAGACCACGGAGCACCGAAAGGUGAUCUGGUAGGGAGGCGCUCUGCAUGGGUAGAAGCUGGGUCGUAAGUUCCAGUGGACCGUGUAGUGUUGAGAAUUCUGGCACUAGUAGAAGCAUAGAUGGGUGAGAAUCCCAUCCGCCGCAGGGGCUAGGUUUCCUCGGCAAUGUUCGUCAGCCGAGGGUUAGUCGGUCCUAAGCUGCACCGUAACUCGAGUGUAGCGAAAGGGAAACAGGUUAAUAUUCCUGUACCUUAUGAUUUUAAGUCGCAAGACCCUGACGCUUUGGGGUAUGCCCGGCGGGACUGUCGUCCCGUCCAAGCGUAUAAUUCCGUGGAGUACCGUAAUGGUGAGAAAGGGAAGAAAGCGUGAUGGGGAAACCAGGCAAAUUCCCGGAGCCCAUGAAAAGGGAGUCAUAAGUCCGUACCGAGAACCGACACAGGUGCCCCUCGCUGAAGAGGUGAAGGCGUGUCGGAUUUAAAUGUAGUUAAGGGAACUCGGCAAAUUGGCCCCGUAACUUUGGGAUAAGGGGUGCCUGCCUGGAGAUCAGGCAGGUCGCAGUGACCGGGUCGCACUAACUGUCUAAUAACAACAUAGGUGACUGCAACUCCGAAAGGACUAGUAUAGUCACUGAUUCCUGCCCAGUGCGAGUAUCUGAAUACCGGGUUCAACCGGACGAAGGACUCGUAAACGGCGGGGGUAACUAUGACCCUCUUAAGGUAGCGUAGUACCUUGUCGCUUAAUUGGCGACUUGCAUGAAUGGAUUAAUGAGUGCGAUACUGUCCCUAACACAUAUCCGUUGAACUUUUUGUCCUAGUGCAGAGACUAGGGACUCCUGAUGGGAAGUGAAGACCCCGUGGAGCUUUACUGCAGCCUGUCGCUGGAUUACGAUAAUUCUUGCGCAGUGUAGAUGGGAGGCGUUAUAUCCGUUUCUUUCGGGGAACGGGGAGCCAACGAUGAGACACCAUCCUAGUUUUGUUGUAGUCCUCACUCUUACGAGGACAACGGUAGGUAGGCAGUUUGGGUGGGGCGCCACACCCUCGAAAAAAUAUCAAGGGUGCCCCAAGGUCAACUCAUGUGAGUCAGCAACUCACAGAAGAGUGUCAAGAGCAUAAGUUGGCCUGACGCGAUCAUGCAAAGCAAAUGAUCGCGAGAGGAAACUCGGGUCUAACGAACCAAUAUAGCCUUUUGGUGAGGCUUAUUGACUACAGAAAAGCUACCCCGGGGAUAACAGAGUCGUCGCCGGCAAGAGCACAUAUCGACCCGGCGGCUUGCUACCUCGAUGUCGGUUCUUUCCAUCCUGGCCGUGCAGCAGCGGCCAAGGGUGAGGUUGUUCGCCUAUUAAAGGAGAUCGUGAGCUGGGUUUAGACCGUCGUGAGACAGGUCGGUUACUAUCUAUCAGGAGUGUUUGGAGUCUGAGGGUAAGAAUGAAAUAGUACGAGAGGAACUUUCAUUCGGCGCCUCUAGUGGAUCGGUUGUCUGACAAGGCAGUGCCGAGCAGCCACGCGCCAAGGGAUAAAAGCUGAAAGCAUCUAAGCUUGAAACCNNGUCCAAACACUAGUGCUCACCACAUUAAACCCAGACGAAAUUCUGAGUGCAAACCAAAUUUUAUAUCCUAUCCUGACAUAGAGGAUAAGGUAUCAUCCUACACGGUCGCCAAGGUGGC
rnacentral:rRNA from 1 species